rnacentral:lncRNA from 1 species
CAAUACAUGAUAGGGUCACUAAACCCAAAUCUCAACCCCACCUUCCAAAUACUAAAUUCUAAAUCUUAAUCACUAAACUCUAAAUGAAUAAACUAACAGUUAGGCUUCAUAUUAUCCGGUUAUAUCCUCCACAUAUGCAAGUUGCCGGCACAGAAGAAGAAAGAAAUGACCCAAAGAAAGAAGAAAGACACACCACUGAUUAAUAAAGUUAAACCCAAAUUAAGGAAGCAUAAACCCAAAUAGAAUAUAUAUAAUAUGGUUUACUAAACUCAAACAUCUACUUACUAAAUCUAAACCCUAUGCAUGAGCCUAUAAACCUAAAUACAAUCUAUAAAUUAUUUUCCAAUAUUAGACACUGACACAUUUACUUGGAUAGCGUGUUACAUUUCUUCUAUUCCAUAUAGUCUAAGUAGUAUAGUACACGAAUGUUUCAAAUAAUCAAAAAUUUUCAGUGGUGUAUCCAUAGUAUGGAAUGCAAAUAGUAAACCUUCCCCACCCGCAAAAAUACAACAAUACAAGACACACCAUUAAUUAUUAGAGCUAAACCCUAAUUAAGGAAGCAUAAACCUAAAUAGUGUAUAUAUAAUAUGGUUUACUAUACCCAAACCUCUACUUAGUAAAACUAAACCCUAGACAGGAACCUAUAAACUCAAAUACAAUCUAUAAAUUUUUUUCCAAUAUUGGACACUUGAAGGCACAUUUUGAAUAUUAAACCCUAAACUGCUAUCACUAAACCCAAACCUUAACCCCACACCUUCCAAAUACUAAACUCUAAACUCUAAUCACUAAAUCCUAAACCCAAGUAUAUACCCUAAACCCAAAUAGAAUGAAAUAAAAUAAAUAAUAUAGUACAUAUUGGUGAACAAAAUAGAACAUUCUUUAUUAAUUGUCAAAUGAAACGAUACAUGUUCACUACACCCAAAUCCCAACUCUUCCCUUCUAAAUACUAAACCCUAAAUCUUAAUCAAUAAACCCUAAACCCAAGUAUAAACUUUAAACCCUAAACUCUAAACCCAAAUCUCAAAAUCUAAUACU